CCUACGGGAGGCAGCAGUGGGGAAUAUUGCACAAUGGGCGGAAGCCUGAUGCAGCGACGCCGCGUGAGGGAUGACGGCCUUCGGGUUGUAAACCUCUUUCAGUAGGGAAGAAGCGAAAGUGACGGUACCUGCAGAAGAAGCGCCGGCUAACUACGUGCCAGCAGCCGCGGUAAUACGUAGGGCGCAAGCGUUAUCCGGAAUUAUUGGGCGUAAAGAGCUCGUAGGCGGUUUGUCGCGUCUGCCGUGAAAGUCCGGGGCUCAACUCCGGAUCUGCGGUGGGUACGGGCAGACUAGAGUGAUGUAGGGGAGACUGGAAUUCCUGGUGUAGCGGUGAAAUGCGCAGAUAUCAGGAGGAACACCGAUGGCGAAGGCAGGUCUCUGGGCAUUGACUGACGCUGAGGAGCGAAAGCAUGGGGAGCGAACAGGAUUAGAUACCCUGGUAGUCCAUGCCGUAAACGUUGGGCACUAGGUGUGGGGGACAUCUACGUUCCGUUACCGUACGCUACGACAUAGUGCCGCCGUCGGGAGGUACGGCCGCGACGGACGUAAACGUACGAAACGUUAAAGUUAGUACGGCGUUGAGACGUUGCCGACGGACGACGACGAGGGAGGAGG
rnacentral:rRNA from 1 species